CCUGCAUCCAUGCCUUAUUUUUCAUUACUUCUCUUCGUGGUCCAGCUGCAGAAAUUGAUCAGUACGUGCAUGAGUAUUACUCAGUUGCCAAGUUUAAUGCCACAUAUGCUGAAAAUGUGCCUUCCAUGGAGAGAAAACAACAAUGGGAGGUCGUCAAUCCAGGUUUCGUUCUACACGCUCCACUUCAGGGAAGAGCACCAGGAAGGCCAAAGAAGACUAGAAUAAGGUCAAGUGCUGAGGGGAGGAGUGGACUUGGUCCAAGGAAGCGUAGAUGAAAGAGAUGUGGAGGUUCAGGACAUAUUGCAAGAACUUGCAAAAAUGCUGUUGAUGCAUCCUUUGGAGAAGAUGAUCAUUGGGGGGCAGAAAAUGCACAAGAGCCCCCAGCUGAACGUGAAGUGGAGCCCCCAGCUGAACGUGAAGCGGAGCCCCCAGCUGAAAGUGAAGCAGCGCCCCAAACUGUGCCCUCUAGUGUUACAUGUGUGGCUAGGGAGAAGAAAAAUAAGAAAGUAAGAGAGGUGGGAAGCACCUCCAUUGAUAUACAGGAGCAGUCUAGG